AUUGAACGCUGGCGGCAUGCCUUACACAUGCAAGUCGAACGGUAACAGGUCUUCGGAUGCUGACGAGUGGCGAACGGGCGAGUAAUACAUCGGAACGUGCCUAGUAGUGGGGGAUAACUACUCGAAAGAGUGGCUAAUACCGCAUGAGAUCUACGGAUGAAAGCAGGGGAUCGCAAGACCUUGUGGUACUAGAGCGGCCGAUGGCAGAUUAGGUAGUUGGUGGGAUAAAAGCUUACCAAGCCGACGAUCUGUAGCUGGUCUGAGAGGACGAUCAGCCACACUGGGACUGAGACACGGCCCAGACUCCUACGGGAGGCAGCAGUGGGAAUUUUGGACAAUGGGCGCAAGCCUGAUCCAGCAAUGCCGCGUGCAGGAUGAAGGCCUUCGGGUUGUAAACUGCUUUUGUACGGAACGAAAAGCCCUGGGUUAAUACCCUGGGGUCAUGACGGUACCGUAAGAAUAGGCACCGGCUAACUACGUGCCAGCCGCCGCAGUAAAAC
rnacentral:rRNA from 1 species